UACGUAGGGGGCAAGCGUUGUCCGGAUUUAUUGGGCGUAAAGCGCGUGUAGGCGGCCAGGUAGGUCGGUUGUGAAAACUGGAGGCUCAACCUCCAGACGUCGACGGAAACCGUGUGGCUAGAGUCCGGAAGAGGAGAGUGGAAUUCCUGGUGUAGCGGUGAAAUGCGCAGAUAUCAGGAAGAACACCAAUGGCGAAGGCAGCUCGUCUGGGACGGUACUGACGCUGAGACGCGAAAGCGUGGGGAGCGAACAGGG
rnacentral:rRNA from 1 species